rnacentral:rRNA from 1 species
GACGAACGCUGGCGGCGUGCCUAAUACAUGCAAGUCGAACGAACAGCGAAUAAGUGCUUGCAUUUGGUCAAGGCGGGUGACGAACGGGUGAGUAACACGUAGGUAACCUACCUCAUAGUGAGGAAUAACAGACGGAAACGACUACUACGACCGCCUAGUACAUCGGCUCACAUGAACAGGUGAGGAAAGGUGGCGCAACAUAUCGCUAUGAAAUGGACCCGCGGUGCAUUAGCUAGUUGGUAGGGUAAUGGCAUACCAAGGCGACGAUGCAUAGCCGACCUGAGAGGGUGAUCGGCCACAUUGGAACUGAGACACGGUCCAAACUCCUACGGGAGGCAGCAGUAGGGAAUCUUCCGCAAUGGACGCAAGCCUGACGGAGCAACGCCGCGUGAGUGAUGAAGGUCUUCGGAUCGUAAAGCUCUGUUGUUAGGGAAGAACAGCGCUGUGAGUAACUGUGCAGGGCGUGACGGUAUCUAAUCAGAAAGCCACGGCUAACUACGUG